GCGAGCUUCUGGAAAGGCAAUAGGAAGUUGCCUUCUCAUGGGCCGGACACGAGGGCAGGAGCAGGGCUAUAAGGAGCCGGGCUGGGCAGAGGGCAGCCAGCCUGCAGAGCCAGAGGACAUGGCCAGCUGCCUAGAAGCCAUCUGGAACUGGAGAUUUCAGAGCGUGGUCUUCAGAACCGCCCAACUCCUCUGCUUUGGUGUCCUGGUUGCUGAGCUUGUGGACCGGAAGGCCGUGGCGGCGUGGACCUACCACUACAGCACCAAAGCCUAUUCGUGGGACAACUCCCGGGCAUUCUGCCAGAGCCUCUACACGGACUUGGUGGCCAUCCAGAACAAAGACGAAAUCGCCUACCUCAACGACGCCCUGCCUCGCUUCAGCUCUUACUACUGGAUCGGGAUCCGCAAGAUCAAUGGCAGCUGGACCUGGGUGGGAACCAGGAAGACCCUCACCGCGGAGGCCGAGAACUGGGCGGAGGGCGAGCCCAACAACAGGAGGAACAACCAGGACUGCGUGGAGAUCUACAUCAAGAGCUCGUUGUCACCCGGCAAGUGGAACGACGAGCCCUGCGGAAAGAGGAAGCGGGCCCUGUGCUACACAGCCUCCUGCCACAACACGUCCUGCAGCGAGCAAGGAGAAUGCAUCGAGACCAUCGGGAGCCACACCUGCUCCUGCCACCCUGGCUUCCACGGCCCCGAAUGUGAGCACGUCAGAGAGUGCGGAGAACUUGACCUCCCUCCACACGUGCUCAUGACCUGCAGGCAUCCGCUGGGGAGCUUCUCGUUCAAGUCCCAGUGCAGCUUCUACUGCGCGGAAGGCUACCUGCUGAACGGACCCAGCCAGCUGGAAUGUCUGGCUUCUGGCAACUGGACGCAUAAGCCCCCGCAGUGUGUAGCAAUCACGUGCCAGCCGCUGGAGGGUCCUGCUCACGGCAGCCUGGACUGCCCCCCACCCCCGGCAACGUUCUGGUACCAGGCCAACUGCAGCUUCCACUGCACCGAGGGCUUCGCACUGAGAGGAGCUGCCUCGGUCCAGUGUGCCAGCCCCGGAGAGUGGACCGCGCCGGCCCCAGUCUGCCAAGCUGUGCAGUGCCAGGACCUUCCGGCUCCACACAAGGCCCGGGUGACCUGCUCCCACCCCUUUGGUGCCUUUAGGUACCAGUCAGCCUGCAGCUUUGCCUGUGAGGACGGCUUCCUCCUGGUGGGAGCGAGUGCCCUGCAGUGUCUGGACACUGGGCACUGGAGCGCUGCCCCCCCGGAAUGCCAAGGCGUCACCUGCUCGCCUCUGCUAAGCCCUCAGAAUGGAACCAUGUCCUGCGUCCACCCACCUGGAGAUUCCAGCUAUAACUCCACGUGCUGGUUCACCUGCGAUGAGGGAUUCUCUCUGUCCGGGCCAGGAAGACUGGCCUGUGCUGCUUCUGGCCACUGGACAGGCUCCCCACCCACGUGCGAAGCCGUCAAGUGCCCAGAAUUAUUUGCCCCUGAGCAGGGAAGCCUGGCCUGUGCUGACGCUCAUGGAGAAUUCAGUGUUGGCUCCACCUGCCAUUUCUCCUGUAACGAGGGCUUUGAACUGGACGGGCUCAGCGAUGCCACAUGCACAACUUCUGGGCGAUGGACAGCACCCCCGCCGACCUGCAAAGGUGUAGCACCAGUCCCUGCCCCAGAGGGGCGCUGCCCAGCCCUCCACCCUCCAGGGCAGGGAACAGUGUCCUGUGGGCCUCGUCUGGGACCUUUCAGCUUGAACAACACCUGUUAUUUCGGAUGCAAUGCUGGGUUCACGCUCGUGGGAGAUGGUGCUCUCAGAUGCAGACCUUCAGGACAAUGGACAGCAGCAGCUCCCGCGUGCAGGGCUGUCAAGUGCUCUGAGCUGCACAUUGGUGAGCCAGUCGCAAUGAACUGCUCCAACCCCUGGGCAAACUUCAGCUAUGGAUCUGCCUGCAGCUUCCAUUGUCCAGAAGGUCAAUCACUCAAUGGUUCCGCAAGAACAGUGUGCCAAGAGAAUGGCCACUGGGCAACUCCCUUGCCAACCUGCCAAGAGAGGCCGCUGACCGUCCAGGAAGCGCUGACCUACGUCGGUGGAGCGGUGGCUUCUACAGUAGGUUUGGUGACAUGUGGGACACUGCUGGCUCUGCUAAAAAAGCGUUUCAGACAGAACGAUGAUGGGAAAAGCCCCUUGAACCCUCACAGCCACCUAGGAACAUACGGAGUUUUUACGAAUGCUGCAUUUGACCCGAGCCCUUGAGGUACGUUACCCAUGAAGAUAUUUCAGAAGGACACAGACCAGUAGGGAAACAGGAAGAAUAUAAAGCUUGACUUUUCUUUCUGUCGUCAUGAGUUAAGUCUUAAGCAUGUAUUAAAUUUUCAAGCCAUGACGGAAAUUGCGUUGGCAGAAGGGGACAGAAACAGCAAUAGAGUGACAAUAAAAAGUAAGUCCAUGUGAGGAUUCCCAUUUCCUCCAGGAUGGACACGUCCCACUAAGACACACUUAUUUCAGGAGGCGUGGCAUUCCCACGGGUGGCCGCUAGCUGGCACUCACACCGUGGCCUUGCGUGAUAACCAGAAGUCACGGCUGCUGGGAAAAUUUUAGGAACUCUGUGCCACCUGCUGGGGAAAUGAAAAUAAUCUGCCUCCCCAAGAAGAGACCUGUCCUCUCCUCUUGGUCAUCUAAGCCUCCACAGGAUCCUAUUUUUGCACACAGGCUUCCGGCUAGAUUUGACUUUAACUGCGGUGUACUUGCUGAGAUUUCUGUGAAUACUUUAAAUAAACGAUGUGGAAUUUCGUCUGGAUGAGCUCUGGGUCAGAGCAGGAUUGUACCAGGAGCUCAGACUCCCCUCCAGCACCCGUCCUGCUCCAACACGAGCCCCAGGAGCCAGGACUGGAUGCUUCUGCUGUGGGCUGUGGGCUCUGCCCGGCUGUCCCUGGAAAUACUCAUCAGCCAGAGACUGGGUCAUUUGGCUUAUCAGAAGAUCAGAGUACGGAAAAAUAAUGCCUCUUUACUUUGAGACUGGAGGAAUGCAUCCUCCAUGCUGGAAGGCAGGCGGCGUCCUGACUUGAGGGGAUUUCUCUAAGAUCAUCCGCAGCCUCCUGCAGAAGUAUUUGCUGUUACUGACGCCUCCGGACUCUGCUGCGAGGCUUCCAGAGCAGCCCCUUCUGCAGAAGACCGUGAACCAAGACAGAAAGGACCCUGUCAGUGUACAGCUGCCCUCCCUCCAGCAGUCACUCUCCGCCCAAGGACCCAAAGACCAAUACUCAAAUGUGUAAUUUAAAGGAUUCCCCCCUCAGAGCCCAUGUCCUAUCAUUCGAUGUUUUGUUCCAUAAAGUCUGUGUAUACCACUAUGUUUGCAUCAGUAUAAUAAACACUUACAGUUGUCCCAGUUAGA